rnacentral:rRNA from 1 species
CCUACGGGUGGCAGCAGUCGGGAAUAUUGCACAAUGGGGGGAACCCUGAUGCAGUGACGCCGCGUGGGUGAGGAAGCACCUCGGUGCGUAAAGCCCUAUCAGCAGGGAAGAAAAUGACGGUACCUGACUAAGAAGCCCCGGCUAACUACGUGCCAGCAGCCGCGGUAAUACGUAGGGGGCAAGCGUUAUCCGGAUUUACUGGGUGUAAAGGGGGCGCAGACGGCGAGGCAAGCCAGGAGUGAAAGGCCGGGGCCCAACCCCGGGACUGCUCUUGAAACUGGGUGGCUGGAGUGCAGGAGGGGCAGGCGGAAUUCCUGGUGUAGCGGUGAAAUGCGUAGAUAUUAGGAGGAACACCGGUGGCGAAGGCGGCCUGCUGGACGGCAACUGACGUUGAGGCUCGAAAGCGUGGGGAGCAAACAGGAUUAGAUACCCGUGUAGUC